rnacentral:rRNA from 1 species
CAUUACACAAAUAUGAAGGCGGGCUGGAACCUCUCGGGGUUACAGCCUUGCUGAAUUAUUCACCCUUGUCUUUUGCGUACUUCUUGUUUCCUUGGUGGGUUCGCCCACCACUAGGACAAACAUAAACCUUUUGUAAUUGCAAUCAGCGUCAGUAACAAAUUAAUAAUUACAACUUUCAACAACGGAUCUCUUGGUUCUGGCAUCGAUGAAGAACGCAGCGAAAUGCGAUAAGUAGUGUGAAUUGCAGAAUUCAGUGAAUCAUCGAAUCUUUGAACGCACAUUGCGCCCUUUGGUAUUCCAAAGGGCAUGCCUGUUCGAGCGUCAUUUGUACCCUCAAGCUUUGCUUGGUGUUGGGCGUCUUGUCUCUAGCUUUGCUGGAGACUCGCCUUAAAGUAAUUGGCAGCCGGCCUACUGGUUUCGGAGCGCAGCACAAGUCGCACUCUCUAUCAGCAAAGGUCUAGCAUCCAUUAAGCCUUUUUUUCAACUUUUGACCUCGGAUCAGGUAGGGAUACCCGCUGAACUUAAGCAUAU